rnacentral:rRNA from 1 species
CUGGCGGCGUGUUCACACAUGCAAGAAGAACGAACCUUCGGGUUAGUGGCGGACGGGUGAGUAACGCGUUUUCCUCUGCCCUCAGGAGGGGGAUAACGGUUGGAAACGACCGCUAAUACCCCAUAUGCCGAGAGGUGAAAAGAAAUUCGCCUGAGGAUGAGCUCGCGUCUGAUUAGCUAGUUGGUGUGGUAAUGGCGCACCAAGGCUUCGAUCAGUAGCUGGUCUGAGAGGAUGAUCAGCCACACUGGGACUGAGACACGGCCCAGACUCCUACGGGAGGCAGCAGUGGG